CCAGCAGAAGGAAGGGACUUGAGCCUUCACAUGCCCUUAGCAGCCAGGACCUGCCAGCAAAGCUUUUGCAUGGAAGCUCUCCUGGGAGGAGGUCACAGAAAUCGCACAGAGAAGGGACAAAGAAGAACAGUACUGGAAGUGCUGAUUGUGAAGGAGAGGCAGCCCACUGCACAGACCAUCUGUGCACCUGCUGAGGCAAGCAGAUACAAGCAAACACACCUCCUGGUUCCACCUGCCUAGGGAAAAUGAAAGUCAAGGUGAUGACAGACAGGAAGCAGCUUCUGCAGUUUUCUGAAGGCGCUGAGAAAAAAAGAAGCCUGCUAAGAAAACAAAGGCAGCUCUCUGUGCUCCUGCAUGGUGUCUCCACCAGAGGGCGCUGCGGACACACAGUCCCCGGCAAGUGUCUCCACCAGAGGGCGCUGCGGACACAUCGUCUCCGGCAAGUGUCUCCACCAGAGGGCGCUGCGGACACACCAUCCCCGGCAGAAGCGCCUCCAGCGCAGAGCAAGCCAAACGAAACCCACUGAAUGACACAGACUUUAUCAUUAUUACUCUUUUUACAACCAAUGCCUUGCUCAUUCAGUCAGGGCAACAAGCAAGGCCAAAUCCCUCUUGGAACUAAAAAUGACAAAGGAAGUAAAAGUGAAAUCUUCUUCAGAUCUAUCAGCAGUAAAAGGAAGAAGAGAGAAAGUGUGAGCCCACUGCUGAGGGAAGGCAGCCUGAGAACAGAGGAUGCAGAAAAGGCAGAGUUGCUAAAUAUCUUCUUUGCAUCAGUCUUUACUCCCAAGAUUGAACUCCUCUAUGAGCUGCAGACCCAGGAUGAAGGAGAGGAAGCCUGGAGGAGGGAUGAUUCCCCACGAGUCAAUGAAGACUGGGCUAGGAAUCAGUUACAAAAAUGCAAUAGUCACAAGUCCUUGGGACCUGACGAGAUGCACCCAGGAGUGCUGAGGGAACUGCCUGAUGUGUUGUAGCUCUGCCACUCUCCAUCAUUUCUGCUAAGUCGUGGCAAACAGGAGAGGUGCCUGAGGACUGGAGGAAAGCCAAUGGCACUCUAGUCUUCAAAAAAGGAAAGGAAGAGGCUCCAGGUAACUACAGACCAGUCAGCCUCACCUCCCUCCCCCCCUGCAAGAACGACGGAGUGGCUCCUUCUGGAGGGCAUCUCUAGGCACUGGGAAGAGGUUAUCAGCAGUAGUCAGCAUGGAUUUACAAAGGGGAAACCAGGCUUGACUAAUAUGAUAGUAUUCUAUGAUGCUGUAACUGAAUGGCAAUUUGCAGAGAGAGCAGUGGCUGUAGCUCCCCUUGACCCUAGCAAGGCUUUUGGCACUGUCUCCCAUAAGAUCCUUGGAAGCAGGCUCAGGACGUGUGGGAUAGAAGAGCAGAAGGAGAUGGAUUAGGAACUGGCUACACAACAGAGUGUGAAGUGGUGGUCAGUGGUGCUAAGUCCAGCACCAGGGAAAUGGUGUUCAGAACAUGCUGAAACUCGUGGGCUGCAGCAGUAACAGGGCACAGUGCACACGGGGGGGAUGGAGCUGGGCUUGGUGCCCCGUUUGGAGGAGAGUCUCUACAGCAGAGUUCUGAGACUUGGAGAAGCAGUGCUGCUUGGGGCUGUAGGCUCCAUGUCCUCUUAGCUUGGUUUGCAUGAGCUGCAGAGAAAACGUCACCCAUUUCCAACCCCAGUGGCGGUUACUUGGGAGAAGAGACCAACACCAGCCCCUCUCCAACCUUCUUUUAGGGAGAAGUACAGAGUGAGGAGGUCACCCCUCAGCCUUCUUUUCCUCUAGGAUGAACAGCUCCAGUUCCCCUAGCUGCUCCUCACAAGACCUCUGUACACACGCCAGCCCCUCAAUGUCCUUCUUGGAGUGAGGAGCCCAAACUGAACGCAGCACCCGAAGUGCAGCCGCACCGGUACAGGGGCAGGAUCACCUCCCCACGCCUGCUGGCCGCGCUACAGCUGAACAGGCCAGGCUGUAGUUCUGCCGCUGGCCGCAGGCACGGACCCGCACGCAAGUGCCUCGCAGCUGCCCCCGCGUUCGGCCCCGUCCCGCACCCCCUGCUCCGGCCCGGCCGCAGCCACGGACCCGCACGCAA